CACAAACUGUCAUACUCAUAAACAGGCAAAUGAAAGAAAUGUUCAGGAAAAUAAGGUCCUUUUGGCUCUACGAGGAGCAGUUAAAAGGUGUGAUUGUUAAUAGUUCCCACGAGAUGGCUCCCGAGGUACAGAAGUGAUGCAGUGCCCAGCAUGGAUUAGGUUCAUGACCCGCAACUCUGUCAUGUCGUAAAACACUACUGCAGAGAACAACAAAACUAUAACUUUAGCCCAGACUCCACCGAGGAUAAACAUUACCAUAGGGAGCACAUACACCGAGAGCGGUGUUAUAUAACAUGCCUGUGAGCACGUACGCAAAUUAAAUAACAUGGUGACCAGCAACUACUCAACCAAUACAAUUGUUGCUUAUAAUUAAUUUGUUUUAACAUGCUCUGAUCAGGUCUGUUUUUAUCUCAAUUCUCCGGGCCCUAUGUUGGGCACCAAAAAUGUUUGUCAUUGUUUAACUGCAGCCCUAACUAAGUACCACACAGCUGCUACCUCACUACCCUUGCCCCAGUGGAGAGGAGAAUUGGAAAGACUAGGUAAGCCUUAUGUGUUAAGGUAAGUAGUUGAAUAGUUGAAUAAUCAAAACAAAAUAAAAUAUACUAUUACUACAACUAAUGAUAAUGACAACUGUAAUAGAAAAAAGAGACAGAGAGCAAUAAACCCCAAAAGAAACAGCUGAUGCGUAGUACCAUUGCUCACCACCUGAAGGCCAGCCCUUCCCCCAGGAGCAAUCAGCCUCUCCCAGCCAACUCCUCCCAGUUUAUAUACUGGGCAUGAUGCUCUGUUAUAUGGGAUAUCCCUUUGGCCAGUAGGUCAGCUGUCCUGGACAUGUUUCCAUGUCCAGCUUCCUGUUCACCUCCUAACUGAUGGAGCAUGGGAAAUUGAAAAGUCCUUGGCUCAGGGUAAGCACUGCUGAGCAACAGUUAAACCAUCAGUGUCUUACCAACAUGAGUCUCACACUGAAUCGAAAACACAGCACUGCACCAACUAUGAAGAAGAAAAUUAACUCUAUCCUAGCCAAAACCAGGCCAGAUCUUUUUAUUUAUUUCUUCCAGAAAGGAAGAAAUAUUACAAGAAAUCUGUUAAAGGAAAUUUAUUAAUUUAAGAGAUGGAAUUUCUGUCUCAACAGAUGAAUGCAGUUUUUCUCGCAAGCUCAGUCAUACGCCUUUACUUUAUUCAGAAUUAGAAUAACAAUGUUCUGAAGAGUAGAAAAAAAAAUGAACAGAGUUGGUUCCAACAGAGGAAGAGCUGAGACAUAUGUGCAGAAGACAGAACAAGUUUAAACUAUUUGGAGAUGUUUGAGACACAUCAUUUUCUCAAAUGAGAGUUGUGGUCACUUGGCACACUGAGAUAUUCUCUGUUAUUUGAGUGCUGCAUUUUUCCACGGAAUGGAAAUUUAUGGGAUUUCUCAUUUAUGAAGUGUCCUAGGACCUGUCUUGCUCAGCCCUAAAGCCAGUCUUUCAUGCAUCUGGGAAGGACCAUUAUUCUGUUUUCAUGGUAGGUUUAUGUUGCUGUCUCACCAAUCUCUGUGGAGUCAGCUGAAUUCCAAUGGUUAUAAAAUGAUCCUUCAGGUGUCUGUAAGACUACUGGUAACACAAUCCUAUAAUAUCUCAGACUCCAACUCUGU